GGGCAGGUUAUCUUCGGAUGGCUUGU
rnacentral:misc_RNA from 1 species